AAUGGCUGCGGAAUGACUUCAGGCGAAGCUCUCUCAUAGCCCUGCCAUGGUAGCUGGGCUGGCUGCAGACCGAGGUGCAGGAGGUUAACAGAUGAGACAGCCUUUCAUCCUGCCCUCCAUGUGGCUUUGCCUACUCGCAUGCAUUUGUCUCUGUAUAUAUUGGCAGUCUUCUGGAGUAGCGACUCUCCUGACUGUGUACCCCAUCUCAUUUUCUGCAGCCCUUGGAAACUUAUUGAAGCAGCAAUGUAAGAUUAGACCCUUAAACAAUGUCACCAAGAACACUGUACUUCUAGCAGUGCAGUCCGAUGUGCAAAAGCAGUUGCCCUGGGCAAAGGUCGGAGAUCAGAGCAGAAGACUUCGCAUCAGUCCCUCCUAAGAAUUCUCAUCACGCCACAGCAGGGAGAGGCGUGUAUUCUGACUAACUUCAGUGGAAAGACCUGCUUCAUGUAUCAAGUUAACAGUGAACCAUUCCUGGAGCAAGUGAAUUUGAGGACAACAUUUUGGCCUGUAGACUAAGUUCAAGACAGAAACACUGGAGGAAAGGCAAAAUGCCAUUCACAUUUAUAGUGCAGUAUGAAUAAAUAAUAUUGGUGGAAAGUGAAACUGCA
rnacentral:lncRNA from 1 species